rnacentral:rRNA from 1 species
AGCCACAGCCAUGUCACCCUGCAGCCCAAGACUGGUUACUCACUGAAGCUAAGCAGGGCUGAGCCUGGUCAGUACCUGGAUGGGAGACCACUAGGGAACACUAGGUUGCUGUUGGAA